ACUGGCCCGGAGACACUCACUGCGACGCAAGAGACAGGCCUGAAGAGGCUUAAUGCCUUAUUCGAGGCCUUCUGGCACAAGCUGGAAGAAAAACAGGCCACAGCAAAAACCCAGAGCAAGUACUCACUGAAGACGCAGCCCUUUCGUAUUCGGUCCAGCGGCACGACAAGCCGAAAACUGCAAGCCAGAAAAUGGCGCCAAAGACAGCGCAACACGCCAUCGACACAGAAACAUCGACGCCCACCAUUGAAAGCUACACAAAGCAGGUUGAAGCCAGCCUCAUGCCAGCUAAAACUAAGCCAAGCAAAAGAACCAUGCAGCGCAAGCACCAAUACCCGCAGGACGCAGCUGACGAGGACGAACAGACCUGGAUGCUAUACAGCAUGCCUCUACGUCGGACACACACCAGGAAGCCUAGCAUCAGGUCUCUCAGGACUGGUACCUGUGGCAGCUGAGUUCCCGUGCGGUUCACAGGUCUGGACAGUAACCCUGGAAGGUAUAGGCUGACAGGGGAGGCAUUGGGGGACAUUCUGGGACACAAAGCUUAUGAUCAGCUGUCCACCACGUAUUAACGCUUAAUUCUGGUUCCCAGCUAAGCUACCUUAAACAAAAGAAUGCAGUUUCAUGUCACACUCUGACUAUAUUGAUCGAUCUAUAGCACCUAUAUAAUUGCCAGUUCAUAUAUUAUAUGCUUCACUAGUUUGCUACCUAAGGCAUGCCUCUUACUAUGUCUAAUAAUGUAUCACUGUCAUCUCUCAUCACUUAGAAUCUCCUGUGCUUAGAUUGCGCAGAACCAAACAGAUUAGCUUGAUAUGAUUUGCUGUAUAUUCUACAACCUUUUAAAACGUAUGGACACAACACAGACUAGGAUUUUUUGCUUGCUUAAAGGGAUAGGCUUGAAAUGCGCUCAGCCUCAGAAAUGGCCAGUCUUCAGAUGUUUUGCAUGUACUACAAACAAACUUGUCUUAUCACAUUACCCCUUAACACCAUAAGCAUGUGUCACAAACUACCUUGUUAUCCUUAGCUACUUGUUGUCUAUGAACCAGCUUGUAAUAAUGGAAGCGCACGCUUACUCUCCAUACUCCCUAUAGACAUGUUAGACCUAGCAUGUACCUUAUACCACUUUUAAAAAAAAUUGUGCUGUACACUCGAAUGCCUUGUACCUGUUAUGCUAUGUUUAGCUCUUUGACUUGUCACUGCUGUUGGGGCAUUGCAAGAACAACUGUUACUCUUGUGCACAUAAAAA